UGUGAUUAUUGCUGAUGGACAGGUUUUUUCCAAUUUCUUCCAUUAUUUUAUUUUCAUGGAAUGAUUGAAUUGUUUUACCCUACUUCUCUUCUUGUUUUUUCAGGUAACCAGAAAUGUAGAUGUACCGUGUGGAAAGCUAAGCCCACAAGAACAAGCAACCAUUAAUUCUAUCGUUGCUGCCAGUCAUUAUCCUCUCUCGAUUAUUUCGGUUGGCGUUGGAGAUGGACCAUGGGAUGAGAUGAAGUACUACUGAGAGCUUAUUUGACAACUUUCAGAGCCUUUCAAAGAAGACUCAUAAUAUUUCUCAGUUUCCCUCCCAUCAAUGAGGUGCAAAUGCAUGAAACUCUCAGGUUCUGACUACAAUUCAUUUUGGUCAGAAAAUAAUAUUGCGGAUCCUCUUACAAAAGGGAUGACGCGUCAACAAGUACUUGAGUCGUCGAGGGGAAGGAGACUAAAGUCCAUUAUUUAGUUACAACAAUGGACACCCGUCUCCGUGUGAUUGGUGAUCCCAUGAAUGAAGUUCAACGGGUAAUAACGAAAUUGUUUGUUGACUAAAGUACACCAAAAUGAAAUUUGGCAGAGGAGUUGUUCCGUUUCUCAUUCCUAUGACGAGGUGUAUUAUAAAUUGUGACAAUAUUAAGGUUGAUGUAUUUAUAUGUGUAUUUUUGGUAAAAAAAAAAUACCUCUUAAUGAAUCUGAUGACAAUUAUUGUAGGGGUGGGGGUCAUAACCCACUCUCUGAGGAUUCACCUAGUGAGUAUGGUGGUGGGGCCGCCAUUGUGAGAUAUGGAUUAAUCUCUAAGUGACACUCAUGAAACAAGAUACAAGCGCAAGGCCGUGUAACGUGCUACCACUGAUUAGAACAUAAUUGAACGCCAA